rnacentral:rRNA from 2 species
AAGUGUUCGGAUCGCGGCGACGCGGGCGGUCCGCCGCCGGCGACGUCGCGAGAAGUCCACUGAACCUUA